UACGUAGGGCGCAAGCGUUAUCCGGAAUUAUUGGGCGUAAAGGGCUCGUAGGCGGUCCGUCACGUCGGGAGUGAAAACUCAGGGCUCAACCCUGAGCGUGCUUCCGAUACGGGCGGACUAGAGGUAUGCAGGGGAGAACGGAAUUCCUGGUGUAGCGGUGGAAUGCGCAGAUAUCAGGAGGAACACCAAUGGCGAAGGCAGCACUCUGGGACGGUACUGACGCUGAGACGCGAAAGCGUGGGGAGCGAACAGG
rnacentral:rRNA from 1 species